rnacentral:rRNA from 1 species
UGUCUGGCGGCAGUAGCGCGGUGGUCCCACCUGACCCCAUGCCGAACUCAGAAGUGAAACGCCGUAGCGCCGAUGGUAGUGUGGGGUCUUCCCAUGCGAGAGUAGGGAACUGCCAGACAU